rnacentral:rRNA from 1 species
GAUGAACGCUAGCGGCAGGCUUAAUACAUGCAAGUCGAGGGACAGCACAGGUAGCAACACUGGGUGGUAACCGGCAAACGGGUGCGGAACACGUACACAACCUUCCUUUAAGUGGGGGAUAGCCCAGAGAAAUUUGGAUUAAUACCCCGUCAUAUAGUUGAAUGGCAUCAUUUGCUUAUUAUAGCUACGGCGCUUAAUGAUGGGUGUGCGGCUGAUUAGAUAGUUGGCGGGGUAACGGCCCACCAAGUCUACGAUCAGUAGCUGAUGUGAGAGCACGAUCAGCCACACGGGCACUGAGACACGGGCCCGACUCCUACGGGAGGCAGCAGUAAGGAAUAUUGGUCAAUGGACGCAAGUCUGAACCAGCCAUGCCGCGUGAAGGAUUAAGGUCCUCUGGAUUGUAAACUUCUUUUAUUUGGGACGAAAAAGGGCCUUUCUAGGUCAACUGACGGUACCAGAUGAAUAAGCACCGGCUAACUCCGUGCCAGCCGCCGCCGUAAGAC